AUCUUCUGUAACCUUACUGAUUCUUUUGUCUAACCCAUCACCUAUUAAGAAAGAACGUGAGCCAUGGUGAUGGAAGCCUCUUCCAAACCAAAGUGCUUAAUAAGUGCUCGUGAGGACCAUACAAUGUGGAAGGAACCUGGGUCCCUGAAAAUUCCCACAGAAGGCUACUGACCAAGAAAUCUUUCAAAAGACUAUGACAGGAGCAAAAACUACAUUUUUAUUGGGUUAAACUACAGAGAUUUCUGGGUGUAUCUGUUACAGCAACUGGUGUUAAUUAAACAGAGAAGAGCACCGUUCCAUUUUCUCUUUAAGGUUGGAGUAUUAAAUUGCCUCUAUUGUCUCUUUUACGGUAUUGAUAUUUUUUGAUUGAUUGAUCGACCAGGUUUCUUUACUAUCAAUUCUUCACCUUUAAUGGGC
rnacentral:lncRNA from 1 species